CCUGUAUAAGCAACUAACUUGGGGACACUGACAUCUCCAAAUGACAUUGAAUCAUUAGAGCUUCCUGCUGUGCCAUAAUGGACAAUACCAGACACGGUAAAGACGUCGACGAGAGUUUGUACAGUGACAGCUGCAUUCAACUGGAAGAACAAAGAAACAGUGGUAACAGGUCUUGGAAGGGAGUCCAGGUCUUUGUGAGCGCAGAUCAUGCAAAUUUGCAGAGCCAGUAAGAAAAGCCGAAAGCGAUUCGGAUCAGAAACGGGAGGCUGAGACUCACCGUAGAGGUCAAUGAAGGGCUGGACGUGCCAAGGCCUGAAGUAGCCGGAGGCCUGGAGCGCGGUGUCCUCGGCGACGUACGACAUGACGAGCCCAAUGGACGGGCCGUGCCUGUUCGCCCUGUCGACCUGCUGCCGCACCCUGUCCAUCCCGGGCAGCGCCGGCAGGGCAGCCGUCGACGAGCCCGCCAUCAAGCAGAGCAGCAGGACUAGCGGCAGGCUGGAGAGCUCCAUGGCCGUGGCUGGCAUGGACAAGGAGCAAGCAAGCCAGCUAGGAGCAAACUUAGAAGCACAACGAUACGAGAGGAUGGAGCAGUUUAAUUAGCUCCGCUGGUCUGUGGUCCGCGAUGGCGACGGUGAUUGGGUCGGGUUGGUGGAGAACGUGAUGAGCGUUUUCCCAUUUUUUAUAUUCGGAUGUGAUUCGGGAUGUCUCUGUCAGAGGAUUUGGGCCACCAAGCAAAAUCACGUGCUGAAUGUUGUACUGGGAAAAACAUGGCAAAAUAGAGGAGGGUUAUUCGUUCUUUUUAUUUGUUUUUGUUUUUGGGUACCUCAACACUGUUUAUUUCUGUUAGUGGAACUGGGCUUGCCCUUGCUUAAGAAAAUGUAAAUAUUGCUGAAAA